rfam:Hordeum vulgare subsp. vulgare, WGS project CAJW01000000 data, contig: morex_contig_359485
AAAAUAUUGUCUUCGUCCCGAAAAGCUUGUCUUAGAUUUGUCUAGAUAAGGAUGUAUCUAGACACAUUUUAGAUACAUCCGUAUUUAGACAAAUCUAAGAUAACCUUUUCAGGACGGAGGGAGUACAAG